AUGUCCCAUUGCAUAAGUUUUUGCACACAGACUCACAAACCUCAUCAGGCGCACUUUAAACUAGAUCCACUGGGGGAGGGGAACAACAGCCUGGCGAACACUAUAUUACCCACAACCACAGGGAACCGCCGAAAGGCUAAACGGAGGGCUGCACAAACACAGCAAGGACCAAGUACAGAGAGCACAAUAAUCCCAAAUAAACAGUUCGAGGGGAGGUCACAGGGGCUUACAUGUCUUUACACUAAUGCUCAGAGCAUGGGAAAUAAGCAAGACGAACUCCAACUCCUAGCACAGCACCACACAUACGAUGUCAUAGGCAUCACUGAAACCUGGUGGGAUGAUUCCCAUCACUGGAAUUUAACCAUUGAGGGCUAUAACCUCUUUCACAGAAAUAGAACAAAGGGGAGAGGAGGGGGAGUAGCUUUAUAUGUCAAAAACAGUUACGUUGCAGAAGAAAUGCAAGACUGUAAUCCGGGAAACCAGCUUGAAAGCAUCUGGAUAAGAAUCAAGGGAACCGGGACUCAAAAAGAUCUUGUCGUGGGUGUCUACUACAGACCUCCGAGUCAGGAUGAAGGACUUGAUGAAGCCUUCUGUCAACAGCUGACCAAACAGGCACAAAGAAGAGAUAUAGUAGUCAUGGGCGAUUUCAAUUAUCCCGAUAUCUGCUGGAAAACAAACUCAGCCAAGAGUACAAAGUCCAACAAAUUCCUCACUUCCCUGGCAGAUAAUUUUAUAGUCCAGAAGGUAGAAGAGGCAACAAGGGGAUCAGCAACUCUUGAUCUAAUCUUAACAAAUGUGGAAGACCUGAUCAAUACAGUUGAAGUGGUUGGAUCCUUAGGGGCAAGUGACCAUGUGCUCCUGCAGUUUGCAAUACAAAGGAAUGCUGAAACUAAGACAAGUCAAACACGCAUUCUGGACUUUAAGAGAGCUGACUUCCAAAAAAUGAAGGAAUUACUGAGCGGCAUUCCAUGGACGCCGAUAUUAAAAAACAAGGGAGUUAAGGAUGGAUGGGAGUUUUUCAAAAGUGAAAUACUCAAGGCGCAAAUGCAAACAGUGCCAACAAAGAAGAAAAAUAAGACAAGUGCAAAGAAGCCAGAAUGGAUGUCCAAAGAACUUCUAACUGAGCUAAAGCUCAAAAGUGACAUGCACAAGAAGUGGAAAAGGGGAGAAAUCACCAAAGAAGAAUUCAAACGUAUAGCCAACACCUGUAGGGAAAAGGUUCGCAAGGCUAAAGCGCAAAAUGAGCUCAGGCUUGCCAGGGACAUAAAAAACAACAAAAAAGGCUUUUUUGCUUACGUUGGUAGAAAAAGGAAGAAAAAGGAGGUGAUAGGGCCAUUGCAAGGAGAAGAUGGGGUGAUGGCGACAGGGGACAGGGAAAAGGCAGAACUACUUAAUGCCUUCUUUGCCUCGGUCUUCUCAGAAAAAGAAAGCCAUCUUCAACCUCAGCAACACGGAAUGGACGAAGGAUUGGGGGAAAUCCAACCCCAAAUAGGGAAACAAGUUGUCCAGGAACACUUGGGCUCUCUAAACGAAUUCAAGUCCCCAGGGCCAGAUCAGCUACACCCAAGAGUACUGAAGGAACUAGCGGAAGUUAUUUCAGAACCACUGGCAAUUAUCUUCGAGAGUUCUUGGAGAACGGGAGAAGUCCCAGCAGAUUGGAGGAGGGCGAAUGUGGUCCCUAUCUUCAAGAAGGGAAAAAAGAACGACCCAAACAAUUACCGUCCGGUCAGCCUCACAUCAAUACCAGGCAAAAUUCUGGAAAAGAUCAUUAAGGAAGUGGUCUGCGAACACUUAGAAACAAAUGCGGUCAUUGCUAAUAGUCAACACGGAUUUACCAAAAACAAGUCAUGCCAGACUAAUCUGAUCUCUUUUUUCGAUAGAGUUACGAGUUGGGUCGAUACGGGAAUGCUGUGGAUGUAG
rnacentral:lncRNA from 1 species